UUUGCUUUCGUGUCUCUCGUUCCUCCUCAUGUGCCUGUGGCCAGUCCUAUCCAAUGGGUGGGUAGCUGGCCGGGCUGCUGUUAGCGCUGGCGGCGGUAAUUGGUGCCGUUGCUACCGUAUAAUCUGUCAUGUAUCGUGGUUGUUAUCGCUGCGAUGGGGUGCCUGGUCUGCCUUCAACCUGCAAUGAGAGAUCGGGUGUGCCCGUCUCGCUGCAUUGCUGCGGUUUGUGCCAUUUGGUGGUGGUGUAGUGGCACGAGACCGGUCCAUACCGGGGCGGCAGAGGAGUACACAUGCAUGCGCGUGUGUGCGAGGCAUAAGACGUCUGGACCGCUGCGGUGGCGGCAGUGCCAGUGCUGUUGCUGAUGCUGGUAGUCGCGUGCGUGUCCACGCCCCGUCAUGUGUCGCGUAGUCGGGUUGUGGUGUUACAUGUGUGGCUGCUGUGUUGCGUUGCUUUAUGCUGCUGCUACUGUUGCUGCGGCUGUUGUUGUUGACUCCUUAGCAGAUGUGACUGGGGCGUGCAGCAGUGUAGGCAUCGUGUCUACCGCCGCCUCAGUGGUGGUGGUGGUGUUGCCGAGAGAAGCAAACAAAAAACCUUUUC
rnacentral:misc_RNA from 1 species